rnacentral:rRNA from 1 species
AACGUCGUGAGACAGUUCGGUCCCUAUCUGCCGUGGGUGUUCGAGACUUGAGAGGAUCUGUCCCUAGUACGAGAGGACCGGGAUGGACGUACCUCUGGUGUACCGGUUGUCGCGCCAGCGGCAUCGCCGGGUAGCUAAGUACGGACGGGAUAACCGCUGAAAGCAUCUAAGCGGGAAGCCUGCCUCAAGAUAAGAUCUCCCUCUCUGGGUUCGCCCAGAGCUGAAGACCCCUGGAAGAUUACCAGGUUGAUAGGUCACCGGUGUAAGACUAGCAAUAGUUUCAGCCAAGUGAUACUAAUCGGUCGUGAGGCU